ACUAAAUUACCCCCUAUCUCUCUCCCUAUAAACACACAGACUUUAGUCUUACCCCCUCUCUCUCGAAUUACAUACAGACAAACACAAACAUGCUCUACCAAAACCCCCUUCACUCAUCUCUCGUCUUACCUCAUGGAUCCGACCGCCGGAGCCGAUUAACCGACCGGCUGCCGGUGGUUCGGUGGCUCGGUCAACCUGCAAGACACCCUCCCUUCCUCUCCGAUUGUAUCUGCUAACACACACACAUCAACCACCCUCUCACCUUCUUUGAUCAGAUCGGUAAGCACAGGAGAGAUCGGCCGAUCUCCGGUCGACACACAACCCCUAACCCCUCGUCCCCCUCUCGAUCUUUCGGGUCGCCGAUGCUGGUCGUUUUCCGGCGUCGGGUUGAUCUGACAACCACACCACAUCAGCUCCCUUCUCUUGUUUAAAACCGACAAAUAACCGGUGACCAGCAGAGCUCCGGCCGGCGACAAAUGAAGACGCCGCCGCCGCCGCUCACGGCGGCGGCGGAGGUGAAUCUGAGCAGCGGAAGGUUUCACGGCAGUGGAUGUCCAACGAUGAUAAUUGAUGGUGAUGAUGUGGAUGGUGGCUGAGCUGGUGCUGGUGCGGCACGUCACCGGCGACGGAGGUGAUAGUGGUGGAUGGUGGGGUUCGGGCACAGACAACCGGUUCAAUAAAGCUUGAUUUGGUUUGAUUUAACUCGGUUUGACUCAGUCAAACUGAGUCAACUCAGUGUUUGGACUAACUCAGUUUCGGGUCAACUCAAGACAGCUAGUCAACCGCAGUUUCAGUUCGGAACGACUCGGGCGAACUGAAUCGACUCGGUCAAAUCGAGUCAAAUCAGUCAAACCCGGUCAACAGCAGUAAACAUCGGUCAACCCAGUCAACCCUUUCAGCAAACGACACGAGAGUUUGGGUAAUAGUUAAAGUCGUGAUUUCGUUAUGUUAUCUUUAUAAUUUUUUUUAUCUAACGUGACAAACGAGCUCGACCCGACUAACGGUUUUGCAUUUAGUGAAUUGGUUUUCAUUUUUGGCAUAUUGAUAUAUUUCGCGUAAACUUUAAAUAUAA